rnacentral:rRNA from 1 species
UACGUAGGGUGCAAGCGUUGUCCGGAAUUAUUGGGCGUAAAGAGCUCGUAGGCGGUUUGUCGCGUCUGCUGUGAAAUCCCAGGGCUUAACCCUGGGCCUGCAGUGGGUACGGGCAGACUAGAGUGCGGUAGGGGAGAUCGGAAUUCCUGGUGUAGCGGUGAAAUGCGUAGAGAUCGGGAAGAACAUCGGUGGCGAAAGCGCUCUACUGGACCGCAACUGACACUCAGGGACGAAAGCUAGGGGAGCGAAUGGG